rnacentral:rRNA from 1 species
UGGUGGAGUGAUUUGUCUGGUUAAUUCCGAUAACGAACGAGACCUUAACCUGCUAACUAGAUUAGCGUGUUAAUACAUGCUAACGCUUCUUAGAGGGACUGUCUGGAAAACCUCAAGGAAGUUUAAGGCAAUAACA